CCUUCCUGUUUCCAAAGGACAGCGAAGGGCAGCACUUAUCGCAGAGUGGGCUUCCAGUUAGGUGGCUCUGCUCGGCCGCAGUCUGGAGCUGGUGUCCCCACGUGGUGUUCCGCACGUGGUGAACCGAGGCAUCUGGCAAGACUGGAACUCACUACCUCAUCCAGGCGGUCGUCAGACUUGCAGUAAUCCUCCUGCCUCUGCCUCCCAAGUGCUGACAUUCUAGAUGUGUACCACCCCCACCUCUGCAUUUUUGACUUAGUGAGGUUUCGACUUGAAAUGGUUUUAUCAAGGCACGAAUCCACCCAAAGUUUGAAGAGCAGCUGAGAAACCAGUUACAGUCUCUCGAGGAGCUCUGUCAGUGCAGGGCUCACAGCACCCCACCUCCCCACCCCUCAAGAGGACAUGCUUCAAUCCUGUGAGUGACCUCGGAGGGCAAUACAGGUGCAGAGUCUCCCUGCACUGGGACGAGGCAGGGAUGGGCUCCUUCCACCGUGUUCCUCCUUUACCUGGAUAGCAGCAGUUAAAAGUCCUUUCUCCAAGGGUGGCUGUUCGCUCCUUUGCUUCGGAGGUGGGCAGAGCGACUGCAGCGGGCUGCUGGGCAUCGCUGUCUUCAGCAGGGAGGCCCGCUGGUUUCUGGGCGGCGUUUUCAAGAGCGGAGGCUGAAAUGGAGACAGGAAGUUUGGCUUGGUUGCUGAGCAACCGCUGUCAAGGUGAGGAUGUAGCUUUGAGAUGCUUUCAUUUUUGCCAGUUUCCCAAAAAGUACUUUAAAAUAUGAAAACCGGGAGAGACAGUUCUAGAUGAGCUUGCGGAGGACUGAAGCUGGGCUCCCGGGUGCCGAGCCUGGCGCUUACAACUACCUGCCCUGCAUGAAGGAAUCCGGUGAACCCUCCGGCCUCCGCAUACACCUGCAUCCCCGUGCUCAUACACAGUCACAUAAGUACACGUAUACAUAGAAAAAUAAAACGAAUCCUUAAA